AGGUCUAUGGAUCACUUGUACAACUCCUAUUUAGAGAACCAUCUUUGACAUGCAAGUAAGGCUUCUAUAGGAUAUUCUCUUUCAUCAAGUCAAUUUAAUGGACUCAUUUUUCAAAUGAGCAUCCACAUUCUUGUAUUAGUGUCUCAUAUAUAAGUGGCUAGUGAGAUUUGCCAUCCUCUCAAUCGAGCAUAAAUAAGAUGUGCCAGUCUAUCCAGAACAUUGAUCCCCGAUUCAAUGCUCUUACAAUCAGAAAUAUUUAAGAUUAGGAUUUUAGGGUUUUAGGUCUCACUAGCAUGACCCAUUCAU
rnacentral:lncRNA from 1 species